CCUACGGGUGGCUGCAGUGGGGAAUAUUGGACAAUGGGCGCAAGCCUGAUCCAGCCAUACCGCGUGAGUGAAGAAGGCCCUCGGGUUGUAAAGCUCUUUUGUUGGGAAAGAAAUCCUGUUGGUUAAUACCUGGCAGGGAUGACGGUACCCAAAGAAUAAGCACCGGCUAACUUCGUGCCAGCAGCCGCGGUAAUACGAAGGGUGCAAGCGUUACUCGGAAUUACUGGGCGUAAAGCGUGCGUAGGUGGUUGUUUAAGUCUGUCGUGAAAGCCCUG
rnacentral:rRNA from 1 species